rnacentral:lncRNA from 1 species
UUCUCUUCAAAGACCAAUUUUCAUCCGAAGGAAAAUAAAUAGCAUAAAAUGGAAUUGCAACAAAGUCUGUAUUAGUUAGAAGACUAAAAGGAAGAAGAUGAAAUAAGGUAAUACGAAGGAUGCUUAUUUUUCUUUUGUUUUAAAAUUUAAUUAUUCGUAUUGAUUUUGGAUUUCUAAUAAUCACUUAGUAAUAUAGAGUGUGUUCUCAAAAGCAAGUUAUUUUUCCACCUUCAAUGGUUAAGCAAAUUGUUGACGAAUUCAAAGGUGUUUUUCUUCUCUGUAGAGGACAAGGGUUAAAAAUUCACUACACAUAUUUCUUUUCUCGGUAUCUACUUUAGCUCUACUUUUGAUUAAUAACUCUUACUUUCUAUUAAAUUAUAGUAUUUAUUUUAUUUAUUCUUUUUUUACUCUAUUUUUGUAACCUCCUCAACUCGGUCUAGACGUUAGACCUGAAUUCGAAUGAUUACAUUGGCCACCGAAAUGGCCCAAUAAGCUAUCGGUGUUUUUAAAACAAUCAUAUUAAAACAUUUGUUCAUUUUAGCAAAAAAUUAGUUAAUUUCUAAUUCAUUUAAUGCUCAAAAUUUAUUU